CCUACGGGAGGCAGCAGUGAGGGAUAUUGGUCAAUGGGGGAAACCCUGAACCAGCAACGCCGCGUGAGGGAAGACGGUUUUCGGAUUGUAAACCUCUGUCCUCUGUGAAGAUAAUGACGGUAGCAGAGGAGGAAGCUCCGGCUAACUACGUGCCAGCAGCCGCGGUAAUACGUAGGGAGCGAGCGUUAUCCGGAUUUAUUGGGUUUAAAGGGUGCGUAGGCGGGCCUUCAGGCCGGCGGUAAAAUUGCGGGGCUCAACCCCGCCGAGCCGUCGGAACCGGGGGCCUUGAGUACCGGAGAAGUACGCGGAAUGCGUGGUGUAGCGGUGAAAUGCAUAGAUAUCACGCAGAACCCCGAUUGCGAAGGCAGCGUACCGGCCGGUCACUGACGCUGAGGCACGAAAGCGCGGGUAUCGAACAGGAUUAGAUACCCCUGUAGUC
rnacentral:rRNA from 1 species